CGUGGAACCUGCAGAAACCUCGAUGUGGACAGAUGGAAGCGCCCCUUGUCUGCACGUCGCAGCGGUCCCGCAGGAACACGGAGGACUUGGUCUGGCCCAGCGCAGCUGGCCGAGCCCAGUCGUUCCCCUCCACGAGGC